GAGGUGUUUUAAAAUAAACAGACAACCUCAGAAAUAAAAGAGAAAAUGUAUAGGGCAUACAAGCUCUUUGAGGGUAAGGAUUGCUUUAUUUUGUCUUUGUUUCUAACACAAAGUUCUGAGUUCAAGUUCUACCUUGUGAAUCUUAAAAACUGCUCAGACUCUACCUUAGAAGAUUUGGUUAAGCUAUUCCCUUAUUGUAACAAAUGGAGGUACUUGAUCAGGAAUGUAUUGGGAAUUUUAACAUUAUUCCACCCAUACUUAGGCAUACUUUAGGGGAAGAUAAAGUUGUAAACUCCUUUCUGAACAAUGAAAAGCCCCCAACUCAUACUUAUAGUGAAGCAAAACCCCUAAGCUAGGUGGUCUAUUUUUAGAUCUAAUACAAAAGGGUGCUAAGUACCUAUAAAAGUUAAAUUAAUCACUAAAAGGUCAAGCAACUUACAAAAGGCAAGCUUAACAAAAGAGGUGUGAAGUUUUAGUCUACCCAGAGAAGGUGAGAACAAAAGAAGAUGUGAACUAAGAAUGGACAGUCCUGGGGAAAACAUCUACUGUGAUUGGUAGAUGUGAAAAUUUAGGAGAGGUGACAUAAGAGAAAUUUCUCUUUAAAAGGAGCUGGCUCUCUGAACUUAGAAGAGUUUGGAGUUAGUUGGAGGAGCUGGGUCCCUGAACUCAGUUCAGGAAUUGAGGAUUUCAGUAAAGGACUGGAGUUUUGCUUUAGGACGAUCUUGUGGUGAGUGAUUAAAGACUGACUAGUCUCUCUUAAGGCUCAGGCCCUUCAUACUAUUUUCUUUUAUUCUCUCUCUCUCCCUUUCCUUAAUUCCUUCAUUCGUAUUAAUUAAAAUCUCCAUAAAACCCAGCUGACUUGGGCAUUUUCAUAUUUGGGAAUUUUUCCCAUGACAACCACUUAUUUUUUAUUUAAAGCAAGACACUAAAAAUUAUCUUUACAGUUUUGGCAAUUCACAGUCUUGAAACCCACAUUUUCGCGGUUACAACCUCUGACACAUAAUGGCUAUGAGACUCUGGAUAAGUCGCUUAAACUCUUAGUGCUCUAAGCAACUCUAAGAAUGUAAGUUGAUGAGCAAUUUCUGAGAAUAUAAUUAAAGCAGUGACAGUGAAGAAGAUGGUAAAGGAAAAUUAAUGAUGGAUUUGGAAUCAAAAGAUGCAGAUCUGAGUCCCUGCUCUGACAUGGACCAAUUGUGUGACCUUGGAUAAAUCCCUCAGUCAUUAAACCUUAAUUUCUUCAUCUGUGAAAUAAAUAUAAUAACAUUUGCUCUACCUCUCUCAAAGGGUAGUUGUGAUUAAAAGGCUUUGCAAACUAUAAAAUGCAAUUAAAGUAUAAACUAGUAUUAGUAGGGAAGGUAUGUAAAAAGACCAUUGAACUUGGAAUCAGAAGACUCUUUGUUAUAAAUAUUGGCCCUGGCACUAGAUGUGGGUUUAUGGGCAAAUUGUCUAACUUCAUUCAGGUUCUGUUUCCUUAACUAUAAAUAGAGAUAAUAAUACAUAUUUAUUCCCUUCUUUCCCUCUCCUCCCUUGUUUGCAUGUUGUCUCCCCUAUUAAACUGUGAACCACCUUUUUGUUUGGGGGGUUUUGGGGGGUUCUUACCUUUGUACCCCUAGCAUUUAGCAUUGUAUCUGGCAUAUCAGAGGGGCUUAAUAAAUGCUUGCUGAAGAUAAUACAUGUAUAACCAGAUCAAAUUGCUUGCCAUUUCUGGGAGGUGGGCGGAAAGGGAGAGAGACAAUUCAGAUCUUAGAAUUUCAGAAAACACAUGGUGAAUAUUGUUAUUACAUAUCAUUGGGAAAAUAAAAUAUCUUUUAUAAAAAAAUGCUUACUGACUUGCUAUUUUUUGGUUAAAGAUGAGGUCAGAAUGUGAAUUGGCAUUUUUUGUAAGUUUGUUUGUUUGUUUUUUAGUGUCAAUGUCCUAUCUCAGAGACAGUGGGCAUGGAUAAAUAGCAUCUAAGAGUUAGCUUUAGAAAACUGGAUGUUCUUUUUUACCAUUUCCCCCAAAUUCCAAAUAGUUAGAGUACCAAUUCAUAGGUCAAAAAAACAUUGGCUUGGAGCUAGGAGGCACCUUAGACACCAUCUAGUCCAACUGCUUUAUUUCAUAAUUGAGCGCUUAGGUGACACAGUGAAUAGGGCACCAUGCCUGGAGUCAGGGAGAUCUGAGUUCCAUUCUGGUCUUAGACACUUACUAGCUGUGUGACCUUGAGAAUGACACUUAACCUUUAAUUGCCUCAAUUCUUCAUCUGUAAAAUGGGGACACGCUGGACAAGGAAAUUGUAAAUCACUCCAGUUUUCUUUGCCAAGAAAACCUAAUGGACAAAAAGACAUGGGAUCACAUAGAAUUAGGCUUAAAUGAAUAAUAGAAAUCUAUUUACUAUGUUGGACAAGUCACUCAACACUUCUACACCUCCAUUUUCUUAUCUGUAAAAUGUAGAUUAAAAUGAUCUGUAAAGUCUCUUAAAGUUGUAAAUCUAUGGUCAGAUGAGCCUCUGUGCCAAAGUUUAGGAAUACCACGUGCUACGGUUUGGCAGCUCUAUAGCCCUGGUUUAGUAAUGCCAUAGUGUGGUAGGGACAGGAAUCAGGAGAUGGGCAUUCUAACCCAGCUCUAGCAAUAUGUCAGGCAUGGGACCUUCACCUAAUACGUUCCCCUUUCUGAAGGUCAGUUUUCUUCGCAUUCUAGAUAACUUCUCAGACCCUGUCUCACUCUAAAAUUCUGCAUUUGUCUCCUGUCUACUUCUCAGUAAAUUCAGAGGCAGGUCUCUUCCCGACAGGAAUGUUUUCUCAAACAGAACUUCUUGUGACCACAAAGCCAGCAGGGAAAUCAGAAAACUUGAAGUAUGAGAACAAAGAAAAUGAAGGCAGGAUAUGGAAGAAGCCUUUUCAAGUUAAAGCUCUACAGAUGGAAUCUUAUCCUUGAAUUUAAACCAUCCAGGCCUUCAAUGACAUCUGGGCCUUUUUCAUUUUCAUUCUGACAGGUUCCCACAUGCAUCGUUAAUUUUGGUGCUCCAACCUGAAUCAUUAGAGGAAGCAAACUUUGACACAAAAUGUGGACCGUUGGGUGAGGUGGGCAUUUGGGAAUGCUUGGCACUGAGACACAUCUUUCUGGGGUGCUAGUUAUUCUAUCAGAUUGGGAAGGAAAUCAAGUAUGUAGAAAUAUCAACUGGGAAAUUAAAGCGGAGCAGAUGGCCAAAGAUCUAAAUGACUUACAGAUCGGCAUUUCCCUGAAUACUGGCUCGGCCAAAAUGUCAGUUACUAACGAGUUCCUUCUGAAGGCCUAACCACAAGAGAACGUGGGCCCAAUUAUGAGGGGCAAGAUAACGGAGAGGCUAGCUCAGUUCCUUUUUGAAUCCUGUCAGCAGGAAAGCAGUCCAGAAAUUAUAGCUUUGGAAAGCUUUAUUGUGGGACUCCUUGGCUUCCCCACAUUGGCUUUUCCUCGGCAAUCUUCACAGUGGGAGCUUCAUGGAAAACCUACCCAUGGUAAGUUGAGAGCCCAUGGGAGCCUGGGAGAGAAUUUAACCAAAUCAAACAUCUCUGCUUUGCAAAGCACACCCAUCUCAGCAGAACCCAAACAAUGAAGGCAAAAGUGGUUAUGUGACUUAUCCAUGGAGAAAGCUUUUAGAAACAUCCUUCUCCUUAAUAAAACUACUGGCUUUGUGAACCACAAGACCACACUCAGUGUGAUCACAUAUUUUGGUAACCAUUUCCCACAAGCCAAAUUCAAUUGAAAUAAGUUAAAAAUUGUUCACUGAAGUCUUUCUCUGGUGCCUCAAAAUGGCAUGGAGGUAACCUUGAAUUUUUUAAUAUAGCUUCGUCACAGGGAACCCAAGCUCUGGAUGGGGCUGUCCAAUAGUAGACCCAGUAAUAGACUAUUAUCUAAAAACUAAUCUGGCUACCUUUUGGGAGUGUCACUCCAAAAUGUUAGCCACCAAAUAAGAAAAAAUGUAAAGCCUUCCAUCUCUAAAUCUUUGAUCUGUGAGUUAGUACUAUGACUGAUUAGAAGAAGAAAAAACAGUGAAGAAAAAAAUAUCUGAUUUUCCAUAGCCAACACCUUACUCCUGUCCAUCCAGGUCUAGAGAUUAUCUCAAAGAGAGGACAGUGACACAAAACUAAAUACAUUAACAUUUUAUACUUCAAUAACCUCCAUCUUUAUCAUUAGCUCUAGCCAAUAAACAUUGAGACUGAAAUAGAAUGUUGUAGUAGAUGAAACUACUUAUUCAAGCAUGGAAGGGUUGAGACUUGUUUCAAUGAAGGGGAAUCCCUUAAGGGAAAUUAUAGAUAGAUCUCUUAGACUCCUAGAGCAUGCUUACAAUUACAGAAAAUAUGUCCACAUUAAAAAAAAAUCCUGGUUGCCAUUUUGUCUUUCAAAUGUUAGGCACUUUGAGUGGCAAAAUUGAUGCAAUAAUGAGCAAGCUUCACUAUUAGGUACCAAGUAUUCAUUGUCUUGGUGCCUUCCCAUACAAGGUUAUCCUACAUUGGCUUUGUAUAUGUCUCAUAUAUUCUUAUAUUUAUAAAUGUUCUCUCUCUUGAUAGACUGUAAGCUUCUUGAAGACAGACACUAUUUCACUUUUGUCUUUGGGUCUUUAUUGCCUAGUACAGUGAUGACAAACCUUUUAGAGACCUUAGAAACUGAGUGCCCAAACUGCAACCUUCACACCACAUGUGAGUUGCCCCCUUACCCUAGACAGGGGAGGGGAAAAGUGCUCCCAUUGGACUGCUGAGCAGAGAGAUGGGUGAUGGGAGAAAUGUCCUCAGGUUCAUGGAGGGGGGGAAGGGAGCAGUCCCCUCCAGCAUGUGUGCCAUAGGUUCACGAACACAGGCCCAACACAAUACCUGGCAUAUAGUAGGUAAUUGAUAUAUGCUUGUUGACUAACUGAGAUCUUAUAAAGUCAUUUAAAUUUAUUCCUUUUUUCAUUGGACACCUCAUUAUCUCAGCCAGAUGAGAGUCUAUCUUGAUUAUAAGUAAUCUGGAGAAAGAAUUUCUCUCACUUUACUCUUUCUAAAAAUUAAUAAUCUUUAAUAUCCAAAGGAAAAAUAAAAUCUCCCAAUUUACCUAAGCCAUCAGACAGCAAGUCCAAGGUAUUUCCUUUUUUAAAUUUGUCCCCAAUUGAAACAGAUGACAGGUGAUCUUUUGACAGAUUUAAGGAUUAUCCCCAAGUCCAGAUCUACAUAGCCUUCUCCCCUCUGAGGUGGAAUAUCUCUGCAUUUCCUGGAUUCUGGUCUUUUUUUUUUCUGUCAGGCCCCUGAGACAGAGUCACCAGAGAAAAGAAAGUGCUAUUAAGGACACCUCUUUCAGUGUUCAAAUACUCCAAACCUCAGACAGUUUGACUCAGAGUCUACCAUAUAGCCCCCCCCAUACCCUCAGGGAAGAAGCCACUUCUUAUAAUGGGAAAUUAAAAAAUGUGUAUUCAAAUACUAACUGCAAUUCACUAUCUGUGUGACAUUGGGCAAGUCACCCAAUCUCUCUGGAUCUGUUUCUUCAUUUAUUGUCAUUGUUUUGUCCCUCAUUUUGAAGGGGACCCAUGACAUCAUGGGGUGAUAUCUUGACUUGCUCAAGAAUCGGAUUGAAGUGAGGUAGAGUUUCUCAAAGUCAUCAGCCUUAUUCUCUCUUCCAGUCAUUGAAGUCCAGUGGCAAGAAAAACAAUUAGAACACCCAGCAAUGACUCAGGAUGCAGCAGAUGGCCUUGGUGUCUUCAAUGCCUGAUCAUGCUCUAAACUCUCCACCGCUCCUGCUUCUACCAUCUUCAUUAUCAUUAGAACAAAUUAUUUUUCAUCUACCCAUUCCACUGGGGAAGUCUUCAUAUACUUGGAGUAGACAUCCCCCUACUUCAUCAAUGAGUUUGAGACCUGUGGGUCACCCUCAGCCUGGUUUAGUUGUCUGCUGGGACAGUUUACUGGUGUGUGGCUGCUAUGCAUGCUGGUUGUUUGUUGGUUGCCCUACAUACUUGAAGACAUCAUUGGGGGAGUGCAUGCUUCUUGGAGCCAGAGGCAAACCCCAAAGGUGGCUGAGUAGCCCUAUAAAGGGCUCAGCAAGCCCUCAUACCAUAUUAGUCCUCCCUGAAUACCCCUACACACAUAUAAAAUACACACAUUAAAAAGGGGUUGAGGCUAACUGAUCUUAAAGUUUCUGCCAGCGCUGAAUUGAUGGUGCUAUAAACCCACUGCACAGGCAACACAUGCAUUGACCCAGCACCUUUCCAUACAUAGUCACUUGUGGUCAAAUGUGUGUUCUCUCUCCAGAGAGAAUUUAAGCUCCUUGAGGAUAAGCAUUAUUUCAUUUUUGUCUUUGUGUCGAUGGAGCAUAGCACAAUAACCGGAGCAAAGAAAGUCAUUAAUAAGUCUUUAUUGAUUGCUUGAUACCUUGAGAAAUAAUUUAAGCCCAUCUUCUAUCUACAAGUAUACAGGAAACCCAAACACAGGUGCAUGAGGAAAGCCAUUCAGGAAGAACAGCAGCACCAUUAAGCAAGCAGAUCAUUGGCUUUAGAAUCAAAGAACUUGGUUUCAAAUCCCAGCUCUUUCCUUUGACUCAUUGUAUAAGAAGAGGAAAAUGAGUUUAACCUCUCUAAGCCUCAGUUUCCUUGUUUGUAAAAUGAGGGGGUUGGACUAGAUGAGUUCAAAGGCCCUUUUGAGCUCUAAAUCUUUGAGCCUGUGCACCCACACCUCACCCCAACUGGGGAAAGACCAAGUUACAUUGGACUGAAAUGCUUAGACGGAGGUAAGUAAUCUGUAGGGGAAAAGGACUCCCAACAAUGAGAGCAAAGAGAUUUUGAAGGAUUCUUAAAACACAGGGCCUAUUCAUUCAGCUAGACCUGCCCAAGCUUCAGUCUGGUGGUGUCUGUAUUAGCCACAUGCCCAGAGACAGGAGAACAGACUGCAAAGCUGUCUGCUAGGCAGGUUUCCUACCCUGCUUUGUGUGCAUACAUGGAGGCCUUGCCCAGAUAACAAUUAACAGGGCAAACUAGCACAUGAAACAAGUUCCCACUGUAAAUAAAGGUAGGUGUCUGGACCUGGCUGAUCCUCUUUCUUUGACAGGCUCCUUUACACCUUGGGUAAACACACUCAUUCAGAGGUCCUGGGAGAGAGCAUGUGAACCUGCUGAUUUCCAGACUGAAUAUAGUUGGACUGUUCUUCCUUAUGAAACUAUUUCAAAGGAUCAACGUCUUUGAUUUUGAGAUGGAAAGGACUUUGGAAGUUAUCAUUUUUUAAGAGUGAUCCGAAAGCUUAGUGGGAGUACCUAUACUCAUAUGCACAGUUCCAGAGGUGAUUCUUACUAUAUGUCAUUGAUAUAUUACCCAAGAAACAUUGUAUACACUGAAUUUUUUAAAUCAAGAAUGAAAACAGCUUGAGGGCAAGGGCCAUUUUGGUUUUUUUUUUACUUUGUAUCCAAAAUGUAGUACAUAGAAAAUCUAUGUGGAAUUGGAAAAUAAUUAUUUUUUAAAUCAUAAAUGAAUUUAUAUUUUUAGGUUUCAUUUUCAAAUAGCUAAAAUGACAAGAAGCUUAAAGGUAUUUGUGUCGUAGAACUCUCCUAAGAAUCCUAUCAUUAGAGUAUUAAGAAUAUGUAGGCGACUCCAUUUCUGUAGAAUGUUAGGCUAUAUAUUCCUUUGAGAACACACCUGACAUGCACCAGAUUGAGAAGCUGGAUGGAAGACCUCAACCGCUGCCAUCAACUGCUAUUGUCAUUGGUCUUCUUAGUUCUGGGCUUAGCCAAAGACAAGUCAACAGUGGUAAGCCCAUCCCUGUCUACUUUUGCUAUAAAGAAAAAGUUUUCUUUGUGGCCUUAGAGCAGUGAGGAUAAAAUAGCCAUUUAAAAUUACCCCUCUAGGAUGCCCUUCAAUUGGGGAAUGGCUGAAUAAAUUGUGGUAUCUAUUAGUGAAGGAAUACUAGCAGCAAAAAAUUGGAAAAUGAGGGGAUGCCCUUCAAUUGGGGAAUGGCUGACCAAAUUGUGGUAUAUGUUGGUGAUGGAAUACUAUUGUGCUAAAAGGAAUAAUAAAGUGGAGGAGUUCCAUGGGGACUGGAACAACUUCCAGGAAGUGAUACAGAGUGAGAGGAGCAGAACCAGGAGAACAUUGUACACAGAGACUGAUACAUUGUGGUAUAAUUGAAUGUAAUGGACUUCACUACUAGCAGCAAUGCAAUGAUCCAGGACAAUUCUGAGGGACUUAUGAGAAAGACACUAUCCACAUCCAGAGGAAGAACUGUGGGAGCAUAAACACAGAAGAAAAACAACUGCUUGAUCACAGGGAUCGAUGGGGAUAUGAUUGGGGAUACAGAUCUAAACAAUCACCCUGGUGCAAUUAAAAUUAUUAAUAAUAUGGA